UGAUUAUGUAGCAGUGCUGCUCCUGCUAUCUUGUUUUUUCUCCCUGCAGAGAGAGGUGGGCGGAGCCUAACCUGAUGUCUUGAACCUGGACAAGCUGGGCCCUGGUUAUUGUGCCUCAGCAUCACCACCCACCUUUUUGGUUUGCCUUCACAUCACCACACAUAGGUUCUCAUAGGUUGUCGUAGUUAAAAAUAAAUGAUAGUUUAAAUGACUUUAAAUCCUGUGAGGUCUCCCUCUUUGUCUAGAUCCGUGACCCUGGGCUGUUAAAGCUCACUUAACGUUGACCUCAGCCCAGAGGAGGGAAGAGGUUAAUCUGUCCCUCUCAUGUUCUGUCCGCUAAACAACUAAACAUCACACACACAUGUUUAAUUUCCUCACUUAGUUACUGUGAAAGUCUAUUAUGUGCAGGGGGUGUUUGUAUUCCCCCUAUCUGUGACUCUAACUUGUCGAUUGAUCGAACAUCCUGUGGAUGGAACGCCGUUUACCAAAAGGUUUUUUGGAAGAUGUUUCGACACAUGAGAGUAAUGCUCUGUCAUUACGUCGGGUAAAUAUCUGCGGGCACAUUGUGAACCAUUUCUCAGUGGUUCUGCUCUGCUGUAUAAAUAGUCGAGUUUACUCAAGACACAUUUCACAAUCCCAGGGUUCACAAGGAACUCAGCAAACAGAAGAUAAAAUGAAACAAACAAACAUGUGACUGUGCAUUUGAGUGUGUCAGAGGUUAUUUCAGACUGUGGGUGAAGUAAGAACGAAAGAAACAGGGAGUUGGCUUUUGAUCAGAAAGGUCUGUUUCAUUUAUUGCAAACAGAAAAUAGACUUGAUUUGUAGUUUCACAAACACACCCAUGCGUUCACUCUUCAGAUAAUGUGAGAUCAGCUGGCCGUGUCGGGACUGGCCGGCUCACCUGCUCUGCUUCAACAACCUCAAACCAUCUGUUCACCUUCAGCACAAAAACCCCGUUGUUUCUAAAUAUGUGCUGAAGAGCAAAUGUCAGGAGUUCAGAGUUUUGUUUUUAUCAGCUACAUGUUCAUGAGUCAGACCUCAGCAGAUCUUCAUCAGGGUUCAAAUGGGGAAACAAAACCCGAGUUGGACUUUUUUUAUGCACUCAUUCAGGGCCGUGUCCUAAUUGGCUAAUUGGGACAACAGGUGGGAGAUAUUGAGCGUCAUGGAGAGAUUCAGAGAACUCAAAAAUAUAAAAGAUUAAACUCAAAUGACAGAUUAUCUGUAUUGAAAUAAAAGUUGGUUGAUUUCUUGAUUCCAGCCUGGCCAGGCCUAAUCCACCUUUUGCUUUUUUAUUAAUGCUAUCUGUGUUCAGAGUCGAUUCUUUAGGCGUCUGUUUGGGGAUCAUUUUGUAAAACAAUUACAUGGGACGAUAUACGUCAAAGAUUGUAUAAUAUCUUUGUUUUAAUCAGGGUGUUUUCAUGGAUUUAGGUAACCCGGUUACUGUAAAUCUGUUUAUACGUGCAGCCGGUCAGCGACUCGAUUUCUCCUCGGCUGGUAGUGAAACAGAAGUCUCAGUUUUGUGACUUAGAUAAGGAGGAUAAACAUUAAUGAAUAAACUGGACCUCAUUAGAUCACAUUCUUUGGACAUUUAAAGAAAGUUGUUCCCAACUGAAAUCCAAACACAGACACCUUCCUAAGAUAAUACUAGAUAUACUAAAGCUUCCCACAUGCAGCGGUCACUGAAAAAUCAAAUUAAAAAUAUUUUUACAUUUGAUAUGUAACAAGAGAUAAAUGAAGAGACACAGGAUUAAACCUUGUUAAUGUUCUUUUCAUUUCACGGUGUCUUUAAUUUGGCUUUGAAUGGAAAGAAACUUAGUCAGACUUCUAAAGGAAAUUAUUUUAAUUAUCUCUCUCUUUUCUUUUUUCACAUAAGACAUAAGACACUUUAAUUAUUAUUGUAGACGUACAACGAAAAUUAGUUUGGCAGCUCUCAGUGACCAGCAGCAUCAAUAAAAGAAGGAUAAAAAAUUAACUAUAUAAUAAAUAAUGUAAAUAUAAAUAUAAGCAGUAAAAAUACUAAUUGUCUAUCAGUAUAAAACUACAUUGCACCAACCAGUUCAGCAGAGACAUGGGUUGUGUGGUAUCUACGCAAUGUGCAUGUGCUGUUUGAAAUAAAGUGUUUGUGUGCAUUCGCAGCAGAUAAAUAAAUUAGUCUUUAGGUCUGUAACUCCUGUGAGAGGUGGGGUGAUGGAGGCGACAGCUCUGGGGUCACCUUUCAAAACUGAUCAAGACUUAUGGUGCAUUCAACUCAGGGAUGGGACCAUCCAAGCAGCUUGUAAAUGCACAGUAUGUGUCGACAGCCGGGUCAGCAGCUCUGAGGAUGUUGACCUGAUGAUGGUGCUUGAUGAAAAGUUGGGGGAUCACUAAAGUCAGUAGGAUUCAUUCUCUUUAGACAAAAAGUCCUUCCAGUAACUUGAGAUAUUUCAGUCUGGACCAGAGUGGUGGAUCCUGCUGUCACUGUAACCGCUCACACUACAUCACAUCACUUCCUGUGUUGUUCCAGAGAGAUUUCGCCUGGGGGAGAAACAUCUGAUAAGCAGAUAAUUACGUUAAUCCUUUUAUCAAUAACAGAGUGACCCCCAGAGUAACAGGGGUUUGUAUCUUCUUUGUUUGUAUUAGAUUGUAUCUAAUCGGAUUACCUUUCAGGAAGUUAUAAUACAAAAACGCUUUAUUUACUUUAAUAAAUCACAAUAAUUUAUAGUUUAAGAAAUGACACUAGUAGACUUUCUUAUGAAGUCAAAUUUAAAGAUCUACAUGUGAAAAUAAAACAGUGUAAUGAUAAA